rnacentral:misc_RNA from 1 species
UCUCCGUUGGUGAACCAGCGGAGGGAUCAUUAUCGAGUUUAUAACUCCCAAACCCUAUGUGAACUUACCACUUGUUGCUUCGGCGCGCGCUUCGGUGCCGCCGAGGACACUUAAACUCUUUGUUUUUAUAAGCAUUUCUGAGUGGCCGAAGGGCAAAAUACAAAUGAAUCAAAACUUUCAACAACGGAUCUCUUGGUUCUG